GUGUUUGCUUCGGCAGCACAUAUACUAAAAUUGGAACGAUACAGAGAAGAUUAGCAAGGCCCCUGCACAAGGAUGACAUGCAAAUUCGUGAAGCGUUCCACAUAUUU
rnacentral:snRNA from 1 species